UGGGGAAUAUUGCGCAAUGGGCGAAAGCCUGACGCAGCAACACCGCGUGAGGGAUGACGGCCUUCGGGUUGUAAACCUCUUUCAGCUCCGACGAAGCGAAAGUGACGGUAGGAGCAGAAGAAGCACCGGCUAACUACGUGCCAGCAGCCGCGGUAAUACGUAGGGUGCAAGCGUUGUCCGGAAUUAUUGGGCGUAAAGAGCUCGUAGGCGGUCCGUUGCGUCUGCCGUGAAAACCCGGAGCUCAACUCCGGGCCUGCGGUGGAUACGGGCGGACUAGAGUCCGGUAGGGGAGACUGGAAUUCCUGGUGUAGCGGUGGAAUGCGCAGAUAUCAGGAGGAACACCGGUGGCGAAGGCGGGUCUCUGGGCCGGAACUGACGCUGAGGAGCGAAAGCGUGGGGAGCGAACAGGAUUAGAUACCCCUGGGUAGUCCACGCCGUAAACGGUGGGCGCUAGGUGUGGGAUCGUUUCCACGAUCUCCGUGCCGUAGCUAACGCAUUAAGCGCCCCGCCUGGGGAGUACGGCCGCAAGGCUAAAACU
rnacentral:rRNA from 1 species